rnacentral:rRNA from 1 species
UCCUACGGGAGNCAGCAGUAAGGGAUAUUUGCACAAUNGACGGAAGUUUGAUGCAGCGACCNCCGCGUGGNUGAAGAAGGUUUUCGGAUCGUAAGGCCCUUUUUCUAUGUGACGAGAGAGGACGGUAGCAUAGGAAUAAGUGUCGGCUAAUUACGUGCCAGCAGCCGCGGUAAAACGUAGGACGCGAACGUUAUCCGGAGUUACUGGGCGUAAAGCGCGCGUAGGCGGUUGGUUAAGUUACCUAUGAAAGAUACAGGCUAAACUUGUAUUGGUUGGGUAAAACUGAUUGACUAGAGAGAAAUAGAGGGAAGUAGAAUUCCGGGUGUAGUGGUGAAAUGCGUAGAUAUCCGGAGGAAUACCGGUGGCGAAGGCGGCUUCCUUGGAUUUCCACUGACGCUGAGGCGCGAAAGCGUGGGUAGCGAACGGGAUUAGAAACCCCGGUAGUCCACGCCGUAACGAUNUUC